rnacentral:rRNA from 1 species
UACGAAGGGUGCUAGCGUUGUUCGGAAUCACUGGGCGUAAAGCGCGCGUAGGCGGCUUGUCAAGUCAGGGGUGAAAUCCCAGAGCUCAACUCUGGAAUUGCCUUUGAAACUAACAAGCUAGAGUAUUGGAGGGGAGUGCGGAAUUGCUAAUGUAGAGGUGAAAUUCGUAGAUAUUAGCAGGAACACCGGUGGCGAAGGCGGCACUCUGGACAAUUACUGACGCUGAGGCGCGAAAGCGCGGGGAUCAAACAGG